CGGUAAUUCCAGCUCCAAUAGCGUAUACUAAAGUUGUUGCAGUUAAAAAGCUCGUAGUUGGAUUUCUGCGGGGACGGAGCGGCCGGUCGCAACUUGCGACUCGAGCUAGCGCUUUCCCCGCAUCCUGCCGCGAACCGUGCUACCAUUAGUUUGGUGGCGCUGGGGAUCGGCUCGAUUACUUUGAGAAAAAUAGAGUGUUCAAAGCAGGCCACACGCCUUGAAUAAGUUAGCAUGGAAUAAUGACUAGGGACUUUGGUUCUUUUCGUUGGUGUUCGGGACUGAAGUAAUGAUUGAUAGGGACAGUUGGGGCGGUCCGUAUUCCAAAGCGAGAGGUGAAAUUCUUAGACCUUCGGAAGACGAACAGCUGCGAAAGCGUUCCGCAAGGGUGUUCCCUUUGAUCAAGAACGAAAGUUGGGGGAUCGAAGACGAUCAGAUACCGUCGUAGUCUCAACUAUAAACUAUACCAGCUAGGGAUCGGCCAACGUUUAAUUAUUCGACUUGGUCGGCACCUUAUGAGAAAUCAAAGCAUCUGGGUUCCGGGGGGAGUAUGGUCGCAAGGCUGAAACUUAAAGGAAUUGACGGAAGGGCACCACCAGCCGUGGAGCCUGUGGCUUAAUUUGACUCAACACGGGAAAACUUACCAGGUCCGGACAUAGUAAGGAUUGACAGAUUGAUAGCUCUUUCUUGAUUCUGUGGGUGGUGGUGCAUGGCCGUUUUUGGUAGGUGGAUGUGAUCUGUCUGCUUAAUUGCGUUAACGGACGAGACCCCAGCCUGCUAAAUAGCGCGGCCGAGCUUUGCUCGGUGCGAGCUUCUUAGAGGGACCAUGAUGCGCGAUAGCACAAGGAAGUUUGGGGCAACAACAGGUCUGUGAUGCCCUUAGAUGUUCUGGGCCGCACACGGGCUACACUGGCGCCUGCAACGAGCAUAUCAGCUGGCCCGAGAGGGUCUUGGCUAAUCUUUGGAACCGGCGCCGUGCUUGGGAUUGACCAUUGCAAUUGUUGGUCAUGCAACGAGGAAUGCCUUGUAAACGCGAGUCAUCAGCUCGCAUUGAAUACGUCCCUGCCCUUUGUACACACCGCCCGUCGCUCCUACCGAUGAAUGUUCCGAUGAAAUUUUCGGAGAGCGCCGGAGAACGGGGCUCCGCCCUGCAGAACUGGAGGCUCAAAGUCACUUAAAUCUGAACAUUUCGAGGAAGGAGAAGUCGUAACAAGGUAGCCG
rnacentral:rRNA from 1 species